CUAAAAAUCUAGCCGCACCUCAUCUUAUGAAAUUCUUUAACCUCUACUACUAAACUAAAAUAUUUUAAUGUUAAAGUAAAGACGAUUGAAAAAUCAACUCGAGCAAUAUAUAUAUGUACCGCAAGGGAAAAAUGAAAUAAAAAUGAAAUAAAUUU
rnacentral:rRNA from 1 species